UACAGAGACUGCGAGCGUUAUUCGGAUUCACUGGGCGUAAAGGGUGCGCGGGCGGCCGGGUGUGUCAGAUGUGAAAUCCCGAGGCUCAACCUCGGAACUGCGUCUGAAACUACUCGGCUAGAGUAUUGGAGAGGGUAACGGAAUUCACGGUGUAGCAGUGAAAUGCGUAGAUAUCGUGAGGAACACCAGAGGCGAAGGCGGUUACCUGGACAAUUACUGACGCUCAAACACGAAAGCGUGGGGAGCAAACAGG
rnacentral:rRNA from 1 species